rnacentral:rRNA from 1 species
AGCGAACGCUGGCGGCAGGCUUAACACAUGCAAGUCGAACGGUCCUUCGGGAUAGUGGCGGACGGGUGAGUAACACGUGGGAACGUACCCUUAGGUUCGGAACAACACAGGGAAACUUGUGCUAAUACCGGAUAAGCCCUUCGGGGGAAAGAUUUAUCGCCUUUAGAGCGGCCCGCGUCUGAUUAGCUAGUUGGUGAGGUAAAGGCUCACCAAGGCGACGAUCAGUAGCUGGUCUGAGAGGAUGAUCAGCCACAUUAGGACUGAGACACGGCCCAAACUCCUACGGGAGGCAGCAGUGGGGAAUCUUGCGCAAUGGGCGAAAGCCUGACGCAGCCAUGCCGCGUGAAUGAUGAAGGUCUUAGGAUUGUAAAAUUCUUUCGCCGGGGACGAUAAUGACGGUACCCGGAGAAGAAGCCCCGGCUAACUUCGUGCCAGCAGCCGCCGUAA